rnacentral:lncRNA from 1 species
CUGCGGGCGACGCCGGGAUUUUGGUUUGGGUAACUGGGUAGAUGGGGGCGCCAUUAUCGCGCUUCUCUUGCAGGGGGCCGGUGAAGGUUAUACGAGAGGCUCCAUCUGUCCUUAUUGAAAGUGCUCUUAACGCAGGGACCAGCCUUCUUGCUGACGCCUGGGCCACCGAGCACAGGGACAGGACGGGGUUGCUGGAGGUGCAAGCUGGGAGAAAGCAGAGAACUGACUCCAUGCAGAGUUGGGAUUAAGAGCCCCUGGACAAGGGGCCAAGGCAGUGAAGGACGUCCAUCACUCAUCUGCCACUAUCCUCCUCACAUUUAAUCCUCACAACACCCCUGUGAGGUUUAUCCGCUUCACCUGUUGCUGGGGAACACUGCUCUCCGGGGGACUUGGGGGACGACACUGUAAACAUGACUUCCUGGCCUGAUGGUGGCAGGGCUGUGUGUGCGAGUCACUGUCCAGGGACAGCACUGAGGUAGGUCGGGGCAGGGCCCCCAAGCCACCGUCCACGGAGCUUGUGGGACUUGCGGUGCUGACGGAGGAGUACCCUGAGGUCGUGACAUCCUUCCCUGGCUCCCGGCUGGUGCGGACCAGGGGUUUGGGUCCAGGGGUUGCAGGGAUCUGGGUGUCCAGCGCCAGUGCCUGUGGGUCCUGGGGUCCCUUGUCCUCUGGGCAAGCCUCCUCAUCACUGGAUUCCUGGCAGCAAUGCUGUUCUGGGUUCAGGUAGACCACGGUGACAUCGAGGAUGCCGCUGGGAGCUGUCACUGCAGGAAGGUUGGUGGGGAGGGAAGUCAUGUCACACCCAAGCAUCAGGGGAGACCCCCUGCCAGGUCAGGACCCUGAAGUCCAGGUCAAGAAUCUUCUACCUUGCUACGGUCCCCUGUGUUACCCUCCUGUGGUGAGAAGCGUGGGUGACAUGCCUCUUCCAAGUUGGACAGCUGCCCGCCAUGACUCCAACAAAUGUGGAGAUGACAAGUUGGCCAUCUAGCUCAAGCCAAGUGGACGCAGAAGCAAGCAACCGGGAAACUGACAAGACUCACACUAACUGGGCUUCUGGCAAGGACCCCGCAGUCUGCCUGGGGUUUGCACAGGGCAGUGAUCCCAGCAGGGCAGUGAGGAGUGUCACGUAUACCACGUGGGCACACCUCAAACAACAUUCUAGAAAGAACGCCCAGGCUAGAGUGCAGUGGCAUGAUCACGGCUCACUGCAGCUCCCACCUCCUGUGCUCAAGAGAUCCUCCCACCUCAGCCUCCUGAGUAGCUGGGACCACAGGCGCACGCCACGACGCCCAGCUAAUUUUUAAAUUUUUUGUCUUGCUCUGUCACCCAGGCUGGUCUUGAACUUCUAGCCUGGAGUGAUCCUCCUGCCUCAGCCUCUCAAAUUGCUGGGAUUACAGGCCUGAGAUUACGGGCCUAGAAGGAUCUCCAUGAACUCUAGACAGGGUCUCUGCCUCCCUCAUCCUAGUGAGGUCCUCCCAACACGGAAUGAGCAGGAGCCGGAUAGGUGUGGCCUAAGUCCUCUCAUCCCCGUGUGGGAGCAGCUGUGGUCUUUUGGGGGCUCUCCCCUCCUCUCUCCCCAUGUCUGGACACACUCCCCGGCGGGGCAGGAGCUGGCCCCACCCCGCACUCUGUGCACAUCUUCCUCCCACAGCGCUCGCACAGGGCCAGGUGCCCUGAGGCCCUCGGUGACAGCCACCCUCUGUGUGAUGUCCCUUCUGGUGCGCCCUGGCCCCACACUCACCAUCGCCCUCCUUCUCGCCCUCACUCUCCUGGUCGCCUUCAUAGCCAGAGCAGCAGUCCAGGCUCCAGUCGAGGAAGCUGCCCAGCAGCGUCUCCUCCUGGCUGGACAGCUCCGCAGUGGGGGUGGUAACGAAGCUGCCCCUGUCUUCCUGGAGGCUGUUCUCCCGCUUCCUGUAAGGUGGAGAGCCCAGGAGACCCAGUCAUGGACGGCGGCACUGGGAGGCCAGGCCCGCCACACCUGCCUCUAACACCCGCAUGCCCCAGCCUGUCACCACAUGCUCCCAAAGGGUCUGCUGCGAAGAAAAUGCCGGUAAAGCUAGAACAGGUAUAAGCCCUUUAGGCAGGGCCAACCUGGAGGACCCCGCUCAGGCAAACUCAGGCCCCAGGUCUGGGUGUGAAGCCCAGCCCACUUGGCUCAGCUGUGGGGCGUGGGCCAACCAUCUGGUCCCCUGGAAACCCCUAGGAUGAUGCCACCUUCCACUGUUUUUUUUUUUUUUUUUUCAGGUGGUCUUGCUCUGUCACCCAGGCUAAAGUACAGUGGUGUGAUCUUGGCUCACUGCAACCUCCACCUCCCAGGUUCAAGUGAGUCUCCUGCCUCAGGCUCCUGAGUAGCUGGGACUACAGAUGCCCGCCAUCACACCCAGCUAAUUUUUAUAUUUUUAGUAGAGAUGGGGUUUCACCAUGAUGGCCAGGUUGGUCUCGAACUCCUAACCUCAGGUGAUCCACCCACCUCAGCCUCCCAAAGUGCUGGGAUUACAGGCAUGAGCCACUGCGCCCAGCCCCUCUGGUGUUGAUUAAUAAGGUGCAGGCAGUGCUUAGCCCGGCGCCAGGCAGAUUGCAUGGAAUGGCCUGGCCUUGGGCGGUGCUGACACCCACACCCAAGUGGGGUCAAAUCUUGCUCAGGAUGGGGCUGGAGGCCAGUGUGUGGGCCUCAGCCUGCGAAAAGCCACCACACCAGCUGAGCCUUUCCACUUCCUGACCCCAGGGCCUGGUGGAGGAGGGGGGUGGAGACAGCUACCCCAGUGUCACCCCUGGGGGUCUGUUUCAGAAGACUGAUGGGGCUGUGGGGGGCCUCUGAGAAGCGGGUUUAACACAGCGAGGCUGAGCACAGGGCCAGGCCCCCUCCUGGAGUAGCCGUGCGUAUCUGCAUGGACUUUCCUCCUGAUGACCCUGGCCCCAGGGAGUCGGCGCAUGUGUGGAGUGACACAGGAGGGUCAGGUCUCCUGCCUUCCACACAAUGGAAAGUGCUGUCAUGCUUCUUGGGGAGGAAGCAGCAGCAGGGGCUUCGGCUGCUUCCCCAGGGCUCCCCAGGAGUUGCGGUCUCCUGCCAGGAGCCCACUCCCGACACAACGCUCCUGGAGGCAGCCCUGCCUGGUCCUAUAUUGACAGGAAAGACCCAGCCACCCAGUGCCCGCCCUUGGGAAGGUUACGGGUGCACACGGUGCUGAGCAGUCACGGCGCAGGGCCAGCAGCACGGGGAGGGCCCUGUUCAUCGGGGCCUUGUGGAAUCAGUAGGAGUUCUCCAGGCGGGUGAGGUAGAAAGAGGAAGUUAACUCCAGGAGGAACAGCCAAGGUGCUGAGAUAGGAGAGGCAGGUAAACAGGUCCACACGGGUGGCGAGGGAAGUGCUGGGGAUGUGACUCAGGUCACAACUCGAGUGCCGGGAGUGACAGCAGCAUCAUGGAGCAGAGAAGUCCAGGACGCGCAUGACAGGCACGGGCAGGGCUAGAGCCAGGCUGGGCUCCCGCGUGCUCGAAACCAUCUUCCUCCACAGGGAGCCCAGUCAGAGCGAGAGGCAAUAGCCUCUGAGGAAGGAGACCUGGGCUGGAGACAGUGGAGGUUACGCAGGGGCCCGAGGCAUGACUGCAGGGCUCCGUCCCAGGGUCACUGUCCUGGGAUCUGCUGCUCCCCUGACAAGCCUUGGGGGCCUCUCUGUGUGAGGAAGCGCUGAGGGAACUGGGCCGGCACGAGGAUGCCAGCAUUGUAUGGCGCAGCCAGAACGCAGGGUAACUAACCGUUUGGUUCUUCGCCCCGAGGGAGAGCUGAGGAAGGCGUGGAUCUCCCCUGUGCUGAGGAAAGUCGGGGGGUCGGGGCUGUCUUGUGUCACUCCUAAUGCAGCACACAACUGGCUGUAGCUCAGCACCUGAGGGGAAGCCAGAGUUAGGGGGUGCAGAGGCCCCGAGGGUGAGGCCCACCCACACCCCAGCACCCCAUGAGAUGCCCAGGUGGCGGGAGGGAGGCACCUCUUCCUGGCUGAUUUCUCCGUAGCGCUUGUCCUCAAACCGCUGCUUCACGGCGGUCAGAGAGACUUGCCUGUAGUCCUUGGGGGCGUCAUCGUGGAAGCUGGAAACAGAGUCACGUGGAGUGGACAUGUGAGGCACCCCCACCCCAUUUUUAGCUUCAGUUCACUGAAGUGAGCAAUGAGAAUGCAAAAUGGUGCAGUCACUCUGGAAUCUGACCUGGCAGUUCCCAGAAUGGUUAAACUCAGUCACCACAGGACCUAGCAAUUCCUCUCUAGGUAAAGACCCAGGAAAAAGGAAAAACUAUGUCCACACAGAAACCUGUACUAGAAUGUUCAUGGCAGGACUGUUCACAAUAGGCAAAAUGUCCACCAGCUGCGGGAUGGAUAAACACAUGUGGUCCAUGCAGGGGACUAUUAUUCAGCCAUGAAAAGGAACAAAGCAGGGACACAUGCCACAUGGACAAACCCAGCAAACGUUACAGCGAGGGAAAUCACCUAGACACAAAAGGCCACUUGUCCGAUGACGCCAUUUAUAUGGAAUGUCCAGAAUGGGAAAAAUCCAUGGACUGAAAGUAGACUACUGGGGGUCAUCUAGCGCUGAGGAAGUUGGGGGGAACGGGAGGGUGACAGCUGAGGGGUGUGUUGUCCCUUUGAGGAAAGUGAAAAUGUCGUCAAUUUGAUUGUUGUGAUGACAAGCACAACUGUGUGAAUACAAGCCCAUUAAAUCACACAAUCAAAGGAAGUGUAGUUUCUAAAUAACGUUUCUAAUUUAUCUGGUUUGGAAAAAAAAUUAACUUCUUCAGGAGGAAGAGAAUAAACGCAGCCCAG